GCAAAAUCGAUUCCUUUUUCUUUUUUUUCUCAGUUUAUCUGCAAAACGUAUUCUGAACUUUUGAUUUCCUAUCCAAGAGUCCGCUCAUUGAUUCCUCUUCCUUUCUUCUCACCUUCUCUACAAAACCUUUACCAUACCCAAGAGUCACUUUUUUUUUUACUUCAGGCUUGUGAACUCUUAUUCUCGGAAUCAACUUUUGUGUGGUUCUCUUAGAAAUCCUAUAUUCCUAUUUCUGGAUUUAUGAUUCUGGAAAUUGGAAUUUUGAUUUUUUUGGUAGUUGUCGGAUGGGGAACAGAUGACAAAGCGGUUAUAGGCGUUUCAGACAAAAAAGAAACAAGAGCUAAAGGAGAAUCACGAUAAGUUACAAAGAGAUUUACGAGGGAGACAUAAGGCUUGCUAACAGGGUCUUGAAUGGGGAAGCAAAAACCUAGAAAAACUGAAGGUUUUCGUAGGAUCUCUUGCAUUCGCUAAACCAUUUGGUUGUUGUAAGGAAACUUAUUCUUCCUCUGAGCGUUUUCCUCUACCAAAAGGUUUUGUUUUUGUUUAUCAUACAUUUUCACUUUCAAUAUUGUUAUCAUUUUUGAGUUUUAGCAGCCUAACUAUGAUAAUAUGAAACUGGGAGACUUCAUGAUAAAACCCACCAUAAGAGAAAGGAGGAGGAACAAGAACAUAUAAAUCAGAUUUGAUAAAAGAAACGACAUUUGAUAAAAGUUGCUUGCGGCUGGAGGUGGAAUGUAUGUGGAAGUUUUCAACAGAGUGAUUCCAUUGGCUUACAACAUCAUAAAGAAGAAUAAAGUCGGAGAAACUAACACUUACGUGGAUGGGACCUACUUUUGUUUCACUUACUUAACCAAACUUGAAUCCAUUACUCCAGUCGAGACUGCUCUUACUGCGCAGAACGACCUUAUUCGAUUUUAUUCCUUAAAGAUAAAGAAGAAGUACAACUGAAAAGAUGAUGAACAUUGCAUGUGUGUAUGUGACCACAUUUAGGAUUCUAGAUGUUCCCUCCGAAUUAAAGUAAAUCUAUAAUUAUUUCGUAUGUGUCGUUGUAUCAUUUUUUGAAUAGUGCUCUGUUUUCUUUAUCUACCGAGUGUGAGAAACUGUAAUUCAAUUUUUAUUAUGUCAGCUAUUUAAACUCUUUCGUUUGAUGUGAAAAGUAAGUCUGGAUUUGAUGAUCGACUAUAUUAGUAUAUACACAUACUAUAAA